ACGGAAGGCAGCAGUGGGGAAUAUUGCACAAUGGGGGAAACCCUGAUGCAGCAACGCCGCGUGCGGGAAGACGGUCUUCGGAUUGUAAACCGCUUUUCUUAGUGAAGAAUUUUGACGGUAGCUAAGGAAUAAGCAUCGGCUAACUACGUGCCAGCAGCCGCGGUAAUACGUAGGAUGCGAGCGUUGUCCGGAUUUACUGGGUGUAAAGGGAGCGCAGGCGGGACUGCAAGUUGGAUGUGAAAUGUCGAGGCUUAACCUCGGAACUGCAUCCAAAACUGUAGUUCUUGAGUGGAGUAGAGGCAAGCGGAAUUCCGAGUGUAGCGGUGAAAUGCGUAGAUAUUCGGAGGAACACCAGUGGCGAAGGCGGCUUGCUGGGCUCUAACUGACGCUGAGGCUCGAGAGUGUGGGGA
rnacentral:rRNA from 1 species